UACAGAGGUCCCAAGCGUUGUUCGGAUUCACUGGGCGUAAAGGGUGCGUAGGUGGCGGGGUCAGUCUGACGUGAAAUCUCCGGGCUUAACCCGGAAAUGGCGUUGGAAACUACCUUGCUUGAGGAUUGGAGGGGGGACUGGAAUACUUGGUGUAGCAGUGAAAUGCGUAGAUAUCAAGUGGAACACCAGUGGCGAAGGCGAGUCCCUGGACAACUCCUGACACUGAGGCACGAAAGCUAGGGGAGCAAACGGG
rnacentral:rRNA from 1 species